ensembl:lncRNA
CACACCCAUCACUGUGCGGUGACGGCAAUGGGGCCACGCGGAGCGCUAUGGGGUCACAUGGAGUGCUAUGGGGUAAUAUGGAGGGCUAUGGGGACACACGGAGCGCUAUGGGGUAAUAUGGAGCGCUAUGGGGUAAUAUGGAGUGCUAUGUUGUAAUAUGGAGCGCUAUGGGGUAAUAUGGAGUGCUAUGGGGUUAUAUGGAGCGCUAUGGGGUAAUAUGGAAUGCUAUGGGGUUAUAUGGAAUGCUGUGGGGUAAUAUGGAAUGCUAUGGGGGCACAUGGAGUGCUAUGGGGUUAUAUGGAGCGCUAUGGGGUUAUAUGGAGCGCUAUGGGGUAAUAUGGAGCGCUAUGGGGUAAUAUGGAGUGCUAUGUUGUAAUAUGGAGCGCUAUGGGGUAAUAUGGAGUGCUAUGGGGUUAUAUGGAGCGCUAUGGGGUAAUAUGGAGUGCUAUGGGGGCACAUGGAGUGCUAUGGGGUAAUAUGGAGGGCUAUGGGGACACACGGAGCGCUAUGGGGUAAUAUGGAGCGCUAUGGGGCCACAUGGAGUGCUAUGGGGUAACAUGGAGCUCUAUGGGGUAAUAUGGAGCGCUAUGGGGUAAUAUGGAGCGCUAUGGGGUAAUAUGGAGUGCUAUGGGGCCACACAGAGCUCUAUGGGGUAAUAUGGAGGGCUAUGGGGGCACAUGGAGUGCUGUGGGGCAACAAUGAGUGCUAUGGGGUCACAUGGAGUGCUAUGGGGUAAUAUGGAGGGCUAUGGGGACACAUGGAGCGCUAUGGGGUAAUAUGGAGCGCUAUGGGGCCACAAGGAGUGCUGUGGGGCAACGUGGAGCUCUAUGGGGUUAUAUGGAGCGCUAUGGGGGCACAUGGAGUGCUGUGGGGCAACAAUGAGUGCUAUGGGGUGAUAUGGAGUGCUAUGGGGUCACAUGGAGUCCUAUGGGGUAAUAUGGAGCGCUAUGGGGUUAUAUGGACCGCUAUGGAGCCAUAUGGAGCGCUAUGGGGUAAUAUGGAGUGCUAUGGGGCCACAUGGAGUGCUAUGGGGUAAUAUGGAGUGCUAUGGGGUAAUAUGGAGCGCUAUGGGGUAAUAUGGAGAGCUAUGGGGUUAUAUGGAGCGCUAUGGGGUAAUAUGGAGUGCUAUGGUGUAAUAUGGAGCGCUAUGGGGUAAUAUGGAGUGCUAUGGGGUUAUAUGGAGCGCUAUGGGGGCACAUGGAGUGCUAUGGGGUAAUAUGGAGCGCUAUGGGGUAACAUGGAGUGCUAUGGGGGCACACAGAGCGCUAUGGGGCAAUAUGGAGCGCUAUGGGGUAAUAUGGAGCGCUAUGGGGUAAUAUGGAGCGCUAUGGGGUUAUAUGGAGCGCUAUGGGGUAAUCUGGAGAGCUAUGGGGUAAUAUGGAGCGCUAUGGGGCCACAUGGAGUUCAAUGGGGCAGCACCGGCCCCAUAGCAGCCCCUUCCCCAUACCGGCACCCCACCCUAUGGCACCCCCCUGCCCCAUAGCAGCAUCUGACCCACAGCAGCCCCUGCCCCACAGCAGCACUCCACCCCAUAGCGCCACCCCAUGGCACCAUCUGCCCCAUUGCAGCCCCUGCCCCAUAGCAGCAACCCACCCCAUGGCACCACCCUAUGGCAUCACCUGCCCCAUAGCAGCAUCUGACCCACAGCAGCCCCUGCCCCACAGCAGUACCCCACCCCAUGGCACCACCCUAUGGCACCACCUGCCCCACAGCUGCACCAGCCCCACAGCAGCAGCCCACCCCAUAGCGCCACCCCAUGGCACCACCUGCCCCAUAGCAGCAUCUGACCCACAGCAGCAGCCCACCCCAUGGCACCACCCUAUGGCACCACCUGCCCUAUAGCUGCAUCGGCCCCACAGCAGCAGCCCACCCCAUGGCACCACCCUAUGGCACCACCUGCCCCAUAGCAGCCUCUGACCCACAGUAGCCCCUGCCC